rnacentral:rRNA from 1 species
UGUAGUCUGCAACCCGACUACAUGAAGCUGGAAUCGCUAGUAAUCGCGGAUCAGAAUGCCGCGGUGAAUACGUUCCCGGGUCUUGUACACACCGCCCGUCACACCAUGGGAGUCGGAAAUGCCCGAAGUCUGUGACCCAACCUUAGGGAGGGAGCAGCCGAAGGCAGGUCGGAUGACUGGGGUGAAGUCGUAACAAGGUAUC